rnacentral:rRNA from 1 species
CCUACGGGAGGCUGCAGUGGGGAAUAUUGGUAAUCUGCGAAAGCGGGAACCAGCAACGCCGCGUGCACGAUGAAGGCCUUCGGGUCGUAAAGUGCUUUUAGAGAGGAUGAGGAAGGACAGUACUUUCUGAAUAAGCCUCGGCUAACUACGUGCCAGCAGCCGCGGUAAAACGUAGGAGGCUAGCGUUAUCCGGAUUUACUGGGCGUAAAGCGCGUGCAGGUGGUCUUGUAAGUUGGAUGUGAAAGCUCCCGGCUUAACUGGGAGAGGUCGUUCAAAACUGCAGGACUUGAGAUUGGUAGAGGGAGGUGGAAUUCCGGGUGUAGUGGUGAAAUGCGUAGAUAUCCGGAGGAACACCAGUGGCGAAAGCGGCCUCCUGGACCAAUUCUGACACUCAGACGCGAAAGCUAGGGUAGCAAACGGGAUUAGAUACCCCAGUAGUC